UACGAAGGGGGCUAGCGUUGCUCGGAAUCACUGGGCGUAAAGCGCACGUAGGCGGACUCUUAAGUCGGUGGUGAAAUCCUGGAGCUCAACUCCAGAACUGCCUUUGAUACUGGCGAUCUCGAGUUCGGGAGAGGUGAGUGGAACUGCGAGUGUAGAGGUGAAAUUCGUAGAUAUUCGCAAGAACACCAGUGGCGAAGGCGGCUCACUGGCCCGGUACUGACGCUGAGGUGCGAAAGCGUGGGGAGCAAACAGG
rnacentral:rRNA from 1 species